rnacentral:snRNA from 1 species
AUUUGACGAUGCCUUAGUAUCAG